GAGUUUGAUCCUGGCUCAGGAUGAACGCUAGCGGCAGGCUUAACACAUGCAAGUCGAGGGGUAACAGGAUUUAGUUUACUAGAUUGCUGACGACCGGCGCACGGGUGCGUACGCGUAUGCAACCUACCUUCAACAGGGGGAUAGCCCCGAGAAAUCGGGAUUAAUACCCCAUAACAUUCACCAAUCGCAUGAUUGGUGUCUUAAAGUUCCGACGGUUGAAGAUGGGCAUGCGUGACAUUAGCUUGUUGGUGAGGUAACGGCUCACCAAGGCUGCGAUGUCUAGGGGAUCUGAGAGGAUGAUCCCCCACACUGGUACUGAGACACGGACCAGACUCCUACGGGAGGCAGCAGUGAGGAAUAUUGGGCAAUGGACGCAAGUCUGACCCAGCCAUGCCGCGUGCAGGAAGAAAGCCCUAUGGGUUGUAAACUGCUUUUAUAUGCGA
rnacentral:rRNA from 1 species